rnacentral:rRNA from 1 species
AAAGAAAGCGUAAUAGCUCACUGGUCGAGUCGGCCUGCGCGGAAGAUGUAACGGGGCUAAACCAUGCACCGAAGCUGCGGCAGCGACACUCUGUGUUGUUGGGUAGGGGAGCGUUCUGUAAGCCUGUGAAGGUGUGCUGUGAGGCAUGCUGGAGGUAUCAGAAGUGCGAAUGCUGACAUAAGUAACGAUAAAGCGGGUGAAAAGCCCGCUCGCCGGAAGAC